rnacentral:pre_miRNA from 1 species
UGACCUUGGAAAUCAAGUGUUGGUGGAGCCUGUGGGGUGAUUUGAGGCGACCCAUACUUGGUUUCAAGGCUCU